UAAACUAGGAUUAGAUACCCUAUUAUUAAAAAAUUAAAUAUAUAAUACUAAAAUAGAAAAUAAUUUAUUGAAACUUUAAUAAAUUGGCGGUAUUUUAGUUCAUUCAGAGGAAUCUGUUUAUUAAUUGAUAGUCCACGAAUAAAAUUGCUAAAUUUAUUAUUUUGUAUAUCAUUGUUAAAAAAAUAUUUUUUAAUAAAAAAAUUAUUUAAAUAUUUUUAAAUAAAAUUAAAUCUGAUCAAGUUGCAGAUUAUAAUUAAGAAUAUAAUAGAAUACAAUAAAUUUAAUUAUUAAUGAAUUUUAAAUUGAAAUAUUUAAUUGAAGGUGGAUUUGAAUCUAAUUUUAUUUAAAUUAAUAUAAUGAUUAAUGAUUAAAAUAUGUACAUAUGCCCGUCGCUUAAUAUUUAUUUUUUUAAAUUAUAUUUA
rnacentral:rRNA from 1 species